rfam:Triticum aestivum genome assembly, contig: Triticum_aestivum_CS42_TGACv1_scaffold_061273_1DL
CAAAUACUCCCUCCGUCCCAAAAUUCUUGUUUUAGAUUGGUCUAAAUACGGAUGUUUUAGAUACAUCCGUAUUUAGACAAAUCUAAGACAAGAAUUUUGGGACGGAGGGAGUAUAUG